UUCCGGUUGAUCCCGCCGGACCUGACUGCUAUCGGAUUGAUACUAAGCCAUGCGAGUCAUUGUAGCAAUACAAGGCAGACGGCUCAGUAACGCGUAGUCAACCUAACCUAUGGACGGGAAUAACCUCGGGAAACUGAGAAUAAUGCCCGAUAGAACACUAUAUCUGGAAUGGUUUGUGUUCCAAAUGAUUUAUCGCCGUAGGAUGGGACUGCGGCCUAUCAGUUUGUUGGUGAGGUAAUGGCCCACCAAGACUAUUACAGGUACGGGCUCUGAGAGGAGUAGCCCGGAGAUGGGUACUGAGACACGGACCCAGGCCCUAUGGGGCGCAGCAGGCGAGAAAACUUUGCAAUGUGCGAAAGCACGACAAGGUUAAUCCGAGUGGUUUCUGCUAAAGGAACCUUUUGUCGGUCCUAGAAACACCGAUGAAUAAGGGGUGGGCAAGUUCUGGUGUCAGCCGCCGCGGUAAAACCAGCACCUCAAGUGGUCAGGAUGAUUAUUGGGCCUAAAGCAUCCGUAGCCUGCUUUGUUAGUUUUCGGUUAAAUCUAUACGCUCAACGUAUAGGCUGCCGGGAAUACUGCAAAGCUAGGGAGUGGGAGAGGUAGACGGUACUCGGUAGGAAGGGGUAAAAUCCUUUGAUCUAUUGAUGACCACCUGUGGCGAAGGCGGUCUACCAGAACACGUCCGACGGUGAGGGAUGAAAGCUGGGGGAGCAAACCGGAUUAGAUACCCGGGUAGUCCCAGCCGUAAACCAUGCAAACUCAGUGAUGCAUUGGCUUGUGGCCAAUGCAGUGCUGCAGGGAAGCCGUUAAGUUUUGCCGCCUGGGAAGUACGUACGCAAGUAUGAAACUUAAAGGAAUUGGCCGGGGAGCACCACCAAGGGUGAAGCCUGCGGUUCAAUUGGAUUCAACGCCGGG
rnacentral:rRNA from 1 species